UGACUGUGCUCAAAGUAUGCGGCUGAUGCGGUUUUGGUCUGUUGUGCCUUUUGUGAAAUUUUCCCCUGGGAAAGAGGCUGACUGUCAGGUCCCAGCAGAAAGAGACAGCCCCACUCUGAUCUGCAUCAGGAGGUGUCUUGUAUUGCCCCAGAGAAAAGUGUAUCCCGAUCUUACUGUACUAGGAACAAAGUGCUGCUGCAGAAUUUCAUGUGUCAUACAGGCAUCAGCAAACACAUUCUGUCCAUUAACAGACCAUGUUUUAGUCUCAGCUUUAAAUCAGAGAAGAAGAUCCUUUUCUACCACAAUCACAAGGGAUCUGAAGGACUUGGAAAUCACCACUUAGAAACCUGCACUCCUACAGGGACAGUGCUUGUGAAAAUGAAGGAUAGUUGUGCCUGCACUACAAGGAGGGUGAUUUAGAAUCUCCUGCAACCAGACACUUCCUUUCUGCUGAAAUCACUACAGCACUCUAGCCCAGGCAAAAUGGUGGCCGAGACAACCGACAUUUGUUCUUUCCAUCCUACCACGUAGUCAUCAAACUGCUGGGCCUUGGGUUGGAGAAGAGGAGCAGAGGAUUGAUUUAGGAUGUAUCUACACUGAAGUACCGAGUGCAGUCUAGCUACAGGAGUCCGUAACUUUCCUUUUU